rnacentral:rRNA from 1 species
UACGUAGGGGGCAAGCGUUGUCCGGAUUUAUUGGGCGUAAAGAGCGUGUAGGCGGCCACACAGGUCUGCUGUGAAAACUCGAGGCUCAACCUCGAGCUGUCGGUGGAAACCGUGUGGCUAGAGUCCGGAAGAGGAGAGUGGAAUUCCCGGUGUAGUGGUGAAAUGCGCAGAUAUCGGGAAGAACACCCGUGGCGAAGGCGGCUCUCUGGGACGGUACUGACGCUGAGACGCGAAAGCGUGGGGAGCGAACAGG